GAAGCCUCCACUGUAUUACCAGGAUGAAAUCCCAAAUUAUGGUAAGAAUGAAAGACCAAAUAGCACAAAUCAUUACAACAGUUGUGCAAAAUCAGUAACAGUUCUUUAGUUUUGUCACAUAUUUCUAGCAAUCGUCUCAUCCCAUCCCAUCAGCUCACAGAUAUAUCAAUUUUUACGACCCAAGAUCUAAUGAAGGACAAUCUAAUCAACGAUAAGACUCCUGAACAAAACCAAAAAAAUUUGGCAGCGAAUAAUAAAUUUUUUCUGGGUGUCAUAUAUGGAAAUAGCAUUAUAUUGUUUAGUAUAACACUUUCUGCCAGCCUUGUGCAAAGGACUAUUUUUACAGAUGACCACAGAAGCUAGAUGCUUUUUCAAUGGGACAUAAAUGUCAUCAAAAUCAGCUAAUAUUUUGUUACUUCCACGUUCGCCAUAAAUAGUACCUGUAAUCCUUCCGUUUCAGCUGUUUCUUUGUUUCCCCCCUACCGUAAUUCACAUGACAAACUGAACAUGCUGUUGUCCUAUUUGUUAGAAGAAGCAAGAGGAACCAUGACUUUGAAUUGAGGUAAUGACUCGUUGUCGGUUUGGCAAACUGCUGCUGCUCGAUAUUGAGAUCAAUAGUUUCAAUAGUAAUCCAGCUUUUUUUACCAGAAAGUACUCCACUUUUUCUUUCUAUCUUUCUUUCAUUUUCUCUUUUCUUUUUUGAUUUUGCUGUUUGGUGUGCUAAAGUUAUGACACCAUUAGAUGGGUCUGCCAAUACAUAAGACAGGGUCAGCUCUUUACAAUGUUCAACAAUUUAUUUUUCCAGAAUCCCACCAGUUAUCCUAUAAGAUUUGAGGUAAUCUUGGUGUUAAAUGUGGAAAGAACAAUUUGACAUCAACCACAAACACCCUGUGUACUAGCAAAUGUAAAGAAAA